CUGAGAAAGGAAAUAGUGCUGCACACUGGGUGUCUGCACAUGUGUGGACAUUAGCAUUAACAAGCCGGGGGUAAAAAAGAACAAAUGCGAGAAAGACAAGCGUGAGGCAGUGACUGUUAUACCUCUUCCUGUGUGGUUUAGUAACACGUGGUUGGCGAGGAGGUUAAAUAGAAGCACUUCUCCUCUUGUAGGCCCAUUUCUACUUGGGCAGAAGAGGAAGACGAUAAAGACUCGGGUAAGACCACUGGAGAUGAAACUCUCUGAAGGGAUGAUGGCAAACAUGGCAAUACUGGGCUUGACUUAUCGAGGACCUCCAGACAAGACGUGGACCUGGACACCUGGACAUUGGGAUGUACAGUGCAGUCAUCCAUAAAGUAGAAAGCACUACUAAACCCCUCGCCACAGUGUAGUGUUUCCUACUUUAUGGAUGAGUGUACUGUUGGCUGCUGGGAGAACUUCGAAAGUCAAGAUGUUCAACACAGAACGGAAGGGAAAAAGAGGAACUUGCUUUGUUUCAUAAAGCCGUGCACAUCUCAUGGUGUCAAUGUUAGUCCACGUGAGAUGGCUGUACGCUUACAGAAACGAAAGCAAGGUUUCUCUGAAUAUCCUCUGUGAGGACGAGCUUGUUGAUGUCACUCAUUGGACUGAUUGUAGAGAUGUUUCAGAGGCAUUUGUUAUAAUUCAUGUUGUUACAUUUCAAUAAAAUGAAAAAGAUGCAUUCCAUCAAAAA